rnacentral:lncRNA from 1 species
CUUUCGCACGUAUUCACAGGCUUGUGAUGAUGGAGCUGUGGCUGGAUUUUGGGUCUGAGCAUACUACUCUCGGUAUUUGGAGACCUCCGUAAGAACCUAUGAUAAUAUCCAUUGAAAAUGGCUUCUAGGUAACAAGUCACUUCACUUCUCUGGGCCUCUUAAACUUCUCAUAUGAAAAUAGACUAGAUGAACCUGGAGAGACAUUUUCUGCCUGAUGUGGAAAGUGAAAGUGAAGAAAUUAGCUGUAUUUCCUAACACUCAGGAGUCUUUUAUGCUGCUAAUAAAGACAUACCAGAGACUGGGUAAUUGAUAAAGAACAAGAGGUUUCAUAGACUCACAGUUCCACGUGGCUCGGGAGGCCUCACAAUCAUGGCAGAAGGCAAAGGAGGAGCAAAGUCAUGUCUUACAUGGCAGCAGGACAUUUUUAAAGAUUGGAAUGAUCUCGUUCUUGAAACCUAGGUACUCUAUGUUGAAGAUGCCUGGACUAACCUACUGAAGAUACGUGGUUUUACCAACAGCCAGCACCAAUAGGAAGAUAUGAAUGAAGCCAUCUGAGACCAGCCAUCUGGCAGCCAAACUGCCAACUGACUGCAAAUGCAUGAAUGAUCCCACUGACACCACGUAGAGCACAAAUGAGUUGCCUCCACUGAGCCCAGCCCAAAUUGUUAUCCUAUAAAAUCAUAAAAACAUAAACAGUUGUUUUAAGUCACUAAGUUUUGGAUAGUUUGUUAUACAACAAAAGCUAGCUGAAACAAAUGUAUUAGCUAGAGCAGCUGUGAAUGGCACUAUUUGCUUAGUUGAUUGGCUGAAAUUUGGACUCACUGGUAGGUUACAUUUAAUGGUGUUGAGUUGCCAGAAUUUCUCUGGAAUAAUGUAUAGGAAGGAUUCUAAUGGCCUAAGCCAUUAGAAUCUCUAAGGAGAUAGAAAUAAAGGAGUGAUUUAUUAUAUGUAACUGUGCCUCUUCCCUCACCACACUUGGUCCUGAAAGAGCCUAAGGAAUAGUUUCUUCUCUAAAGCAUUGAAAAAUGCUUUAAUGGGAGAAGCCCCAGCACCCUUGAACAUGUUCAGGCAGCUGCUUUCUAUAGGCCAAGGAUGUGGUGGGAAAAUCUGCCUGAUCUCAAUGUAGAUGAUGAGAUCCCAGAGUAGCGAUCAGCAUUUUUUACCAGCAGGAAUAAUCUUUGGUGGUGGUUGGCUCUAAGAAUUAAAUAGAUGUGGGCCGGGCGUGGUGGCUCAUGCUUGAAAUCCCAGCACUUUGGGAGGCUGAGGUGGGUGGAUCACCCAAGGUUGGGAGUUCAAGACCAGCCUGACCAACAUGGAGAAACCCCGCCUCUACUAAAAAUACAAAAUUAUUUUUGUAUGGUGGCACAUGCCUGUAAUCCUAGCUACUCAGGAGGCUGAGGCAGGAGAAUCGCUUGAACCCGGGAGGCGGAGGUUGCAGUGAGCUGAGAUUGUGCCAUUGCACUCCAGCCUGGGCAACAAGAGUGAAACUCCGUCACACACACACACAAAAAAAGAAUUAAAUAGAUAAUAGAUGUGUAGCCUGCCAAAGCAUUACUUGAUCUGUAUAAUAGAAACCAGACCUGAGGUAACACAUGCAUGGUGAUAUGUGCCUAUAGUCCCAGCUACUCAGGAAGCUGAGGUGGGAGAAUCACUUGAGCCUGGGAGGUCAAGGCUACAGUGAGCCAUGAUUGUACCACUGCACUCCAGCCUGGGAGACAGAGUGAGACCCUGUCUCAAAAUAAAAUAAAAUAAUAAAAUAAAAUAAAAUAAAAUAAAUAGUUUUUAAAGAUUUUGGCUUAAAAGGGUUACAAAUUUUCUAAAGUCACAUAAUAUAUAAAAACAAAUCUGGAUAAUACUGAAUUGUUCUGCUCAUCUAUAAUAUUAUUUUAUGAAGUAAGUUUCAAUAUAAACUUGAAAGAAAACUGACACAAUUUUUUUAAAAAAUAGACAUAAUUUGUUAAUUAAACUCCAUGCAUAAUUAUUAAGGAGGAAAGCAUUCAUGUUUCUUGGAUGUUUCUUAUAUGCUACAUGCUUAUUUUCAUUUAAUUCUCACAAUAAUUCUGUGAGAGAGGUGUUAUUGUUAGGAUAUCUGUAAAUAGAUGAAGACAUUGAGGCUUUAAAAAGUUGAUCUUUUAAAAAAUUGAAUUAUUAAGGAAAGAUUAUACAACUAGAGAAUGAGUGGGGAAGGGAGAAACAUUUAAACAAACUCCAAAAUAACAACGUACACAGCAAUAACCAGGUUUUAUAAGCAAACUUGAGGGUAAUCCAAGAUAUGAAAACUUAAAUUACCAUAAAGUACCAUUUUUUAACCUAUUGACUUAGCAAAAUUAUAUUUUAAAAUAUCCAGUGCUGGAAGGAUGCACUGGUACCAAUGCCAACAGAUCCUUUUCAAAAGCAAAUUGACAGUAUGACUCAAGAGCCUGAAGUGUUCACAUUCUUUGACUCCAUAAUUCCCUUUUCAGGUAUCCAUCCUAAUGAAAUUAGAUGUAAAAAGACAUGCAUUAUCUGAAAUAGCAUGAUAUAUCAGUUAGGACACUGAACUGUAUAAUUUGAGGACUAAUUAAAGAGACUCUUUGUAGAGAUGUGGGCCAGGUGUAGGGAACUCUAAGGAAUAGUGCAGUACCCAAAGGCUAGCAGGAACAGGUGUGUGUGUGUGUGUGUGUGUGUUUGCACAUGUGUGUGUGUGUUGCAGGGGGUGAGGGGACACGUAGGCACCCAGACAUGAAAAGGGGACUGGAGAGAGCAGUUACUGGAACCCACAGGCAGAUGGAGCCAUGUGGAAAGGGUCAUUCAACAAGAGCUGUGACCUUUAGUUGAGAGAAUUAUCCAGCCAGCAGUGACCCUGGAGACGGAGAGCCUGGGGAAUAAAUACCCCAGCAAUACUCUUCUCCCAUCCUCUGAUCUCCUGCCAGGGUCCCCAUUGGCUGAACCCAAUCAAAAGCCAGAGAGCAAUGGAGCCCAUUGAUACAGUCCAUACAAGUCAGCUUCAUAGGACCCAAAGCAGGGAGGACAAGGCUGGAGAGUGGAUCUGGAGGGUCAAAUGGAGGAUAUCCAGCACAAAAGCUUGUAACUAAAGUGGCAAAAAAACCAGAAACAACGGUAAUCUUACAUUAAUAGGGGAACAGUUAAUUAAAUUUUGUCACAGCCACUCAGUAGAAUAUUAUGCAGCCAGUAAAAGUGAUAAUUAGGAACACUUGUCAGCAACAUAAGUGUGAGCUUAUGGUAGAUGACAAUUUUUUUUUUUUUUUUUGAGAUGGAGUUUCGCUCUUGUCACCCAGGCUGGAGUGCAAUGGUGCUGUCUCGGCUCACUGCAACCUCCGCCUCCUGGGUUCAAGCCAUUAUCCUGCUUCAGCCUCCUGAGUAGCUGG